rnacentral:misc_RNA from 1 species
AGCAGAUUUUCCUCCAUUAGCACACCAGACCGACCAGCAAACCAAGAUCACUCAAGCUGAAGAAUCAGGAAAUUGUGCAUUGGAGCUGGAGUAUGUAGUAGUCUUGCUCCUUUUCUAAUGGCUGGACCAUCAUGGUCUGGAAUACAGGCAAGGAUCCUGUAGAAUGCCGUGGUGGCUGGAAGGAAGUCUGUACUGUUCCAUCAGGAUUUCUCCUGAAAGAGGAUUCUGUGAUCUGGAUUGGUUGAGAUGUUGAAUGGAGCAUUUCGUAGUUGGUUAACCAAUCCUUUGGGAUGAGCUGUUCAAGCUCAUUUCUAGGCAGUUGCCUAGGUAUUUGGACUAUUGUUGGAGUAGUUUCAGUGUCUGCUAGGACAAGCAAGGCAUCAUUUGAAACAGAUGGUUGUAACAGACCUACUGCAUGAUCUUGUAGUAUGUAGAUAAUUUGAUGAUGCAAGGUGGCCAUCAUAGAUGACGUCACCUGUUCUGCUCCUGUGAGCUGGACUUGUACCUUUAGUGCGGUGCAGAGACGAGGAUCUCGUAGUGUGAGAUCAUAGUUUGGAAAAAACGUUAAUACCACACUCCCAGCAUGAAGGGUGGUAAGACACGUUCCAAUGACCGCGUGCUCAUACUGGAGGAAUCAUCUAGUAUCAAGAAGUAAUACUCUAGCAGUGACUGGGAGUCCACGUCUUCCAUGUAGACUAAGAACAAGUCUUACUGCCCCAAAGUGUAGAUGAGAAUAGCCUUCCUAUCUCCAUUUGGGAAUCAAUGGAGGAGGGAUUUUUCUAAAGUGACAUAUUGUUCAGCAGAGGAACUCUGAAGAGAACAUUGAUCCAUGCGAGAAGCUUGGACGUAUUCUUUGGAGAGAGAUCUCCUAGAAGAGAUAAGAGAUCUGAUACUUCUGGUAAGAGAUCCAGAACGUCUAUAA